AGUACGCGUGCGCAUUGGGCAGUAGCGGUGAGCCAGAUUCGCACGGAACAGUCGUGGGAUGCACUUGCAAACAGUACACAGUCGGCCGAGAAAACACACGAUUUCACGGGACCUGUGGGUGAUUAUAUAUGAAUGAUUAGAAAUGAAAAAUCUCUCUCAUCACCCGUAUCAUUGUGACAGAGGGGCCGUGUCCACCGUCAAGCGGGUCUUCACCUGUGAAGAGGAGGCUCCUGCAGGACCUGCCCUUGCCUGUGCUGCACUUCUUUGGGAAUUGCCAUGGAAACCAUAGAGGACCUACACAGGAUCCUGACUUUCCCUGGAUUUUGAUGCAAUGCAGCACAUCGCAUUUCCCUAAGGGUCCAGUCCAGGUCACCCAUCCAUUGGUUUUGGAAGCGCUUCAGAAUCGAUCACUCCAAAACACCCGAUUUGUAACUCGCCAUUUAAAAGUUUGAGAAGUUUUGGCUUCGCAGCUGACUGGCACUGCGUGGCUGGCACCCCUCCCAGCUCCUCCUCGCCUCUCCGAGUCACAGUUUGUUACUCAGCCCCUUCUGAAUUACCAGCAGCCCCCGGACGAGCCCAACGAUAGACGCACUACGGGUGUGUGUCUCACCUCCUCCAGGGUGUUUAUCUGAGAGGCCACCUUGCUGAUGUAGGAGUGCACCUUCAUCAUGUCCAUGCUGUACAGAGUUCCCUCCAGCAGGUCGAUCAUCGUCUGGAGCUGCAGGGAGAAGCAGGUCAGCCGGUCAGGUGAGGCCAACAGGGGUUGAGGGAGGAGGGCGGCGCGGUGCAGGAGCACUUGCAGUCGGAGCCGGCGCUGACCGUCUCCACGGUGUAGAAGUCCUCCACGCGCACGCUGCCGCUGCGCAGACGCGCGCAGGCGUCCCGCGUCAGCGGCCGCAUGAUGCACUUGCACCGGCAGUCCGAGCCCUCCGACGUCAUCCGCACCGGCUCCGCCUCCCCGAACACCUGCACGCCCCCGAGCCAGAGAGAGAGAGAGGAACUGAGAGGCUAAUUGUCCCUGCUACAGUGUCAUGGAUCUAGUUUGGCUGAAAUUACCGGAACCCGCCCCGGCUGCCUCUGAAGGCUGCCGAAUCUUCGCCAGAGUUUGACAUUCCACUUUGGGACCGGGUGAGACCUGAAUGCAAUAUGCUGGCACUGGCAGCCCUGGCACUGCCAGCAUGUCCACACCCACCGCUCAUGUUCCCGUUGACAAAAACAACCGGGCUAUUGCAGCAAAAUGUUACAAAACACUGAUUAUUUCGAGGCCCUGACUGUUCCAAAAUUCUGCAAAAUGUUAUUAUUUAUGAUUCGCGCAAUGAAACGCCAUGGGAAAUAAAAUGCCUUCUAAAUCUGUAAAAACAAA